UACGAAGGGGGCUAGCGUUGUUCGGAAUCACUGGGCGUAAAGCGCGCGUAGGUGGUUCAGCAAGUUGAAGGUGAAAUCCCCGGGCUCAACCUGGGAACUGCCUCCAAAACUACUGAGCUAGAGUACGGUAGAGGGUAGUGGAAUUUCCUGUGUAGCGGUGAAAUGCGUAGAUAUAGGAAGGAACACCAGUGGCGAAGGCGACUACCUGGACUGAUACUGACACUGAGGUGCGAAAGCGUGGGGAGCAAACAGG
rnacentral:rRNA from 1 species